rnacentral:rRNA from 1 species
CCCUACGGGGGGCUGCAGUGGGGAAUUUUGGACAAUGGGCGAAAGCCUGAUCCAGCCAUUCCGCGUGCAGGAUGAAGGCCCUCGGGUUGUAAACUGCUUUUGUACAGAACGAAAAAGCUCUGGCUAAUACCUGGAGUCCAUGACGGUACUGUAAGAAUAAGCACCGGCUAACUACGUGCCAGCAGCCGCGGUAAUACGUAGGGUGCAAGCGUUAAUCGGAAUUACUGGGCGUAAAGCGUGCGCAGGCGGUUUUGUAAGACAGAGGUGAGAGCCGCGGGCUCAACCUGGGAACGGCCUUUGUGACUGCAAGGCUGGAGGGCGGCAGAGGGGGAUGGAAUUCCGCGUGUAGCAGUGAAAUGCGUAGAUAUGCGGAGGAACACCGAUGGCGAAGGCAAUCCCCUGGGCCUGCACUGACGCUCAUGCACGAAAGCGUGGGGAGCAAACAGGAUUAGAUACCCGGGUAGUCC